rnacentral:rRNA from 1 species
CCGGCGACCGGCGCACGGGUGAGUAACACGUAUGCAACCUGCCCUCUUCAGGGGGACAACCCUCCGAAAGGGAGGCUAAUCCCGCGUAUAUCGGUUUCGGGCAUCCGAGAUCGAGGAAAGAUUCAUCGGAAGAGGAUGGGCAUGCGGCGCAUUAGCUAGACGGCGGGGUAACGGCCCACCGUGGCGACGAUGCGUAGGGGUUCUGAGAGGAAGGUCCCCCACACUGGUACUGAGACACGGACCAGACUCCUACGGAAGGCAGCAG